UUGCUAAACGUAGUGAAUAAAUUCUCUUGGUAGCCAGGCUUAUACAACAAUUAGACAAUAUCUGUCAGAUAUUUUUGUCCGUCUACUCUUUUUACUGCAAGAAAAAAAAUGAUACCCAUCAUUGACAGUAUGAUAAACAACGACAUUGCAACGCCGCGUACAGACGCGUACACUGAUCAUUUUUUUGGUAUGGAAAAAAUCUACAUUAAUUAACCCUGUGGCCUGCUGCUUGACUAAGACACGUGGGCGAGCUCAAGGGCUCAGUCAGGAGAAGAGGGUUUGCUAACAACUGCCUAAGCACCUUCAACGGAGGCCUAAUUUCUUAAGUUUCGAUGCAUUCACCACUGGUUUAGAAUCGCGACUUGCUGACAUGACUACAAAACUAUGGACUAAGGGCCGUAUCGAAUUCUUCGGCGAAUUGGAUGGGUAUAGAAGCAGAGAUAGAGAAUAGCUGUGUCAAUAGCGAAGAGCGAUAGCUGGGUCGUUAACUACCGGGAAAUGUCAUUUACUAAAAGUAGCGGAGACAGGGAAGCCUUGCAGACCUGAUUUCGAAACGAAUGGUUCGGCAAGCAUAUGUUGUAUAGUUAAACGCCUUCACAAUUUCGAAAAAACGGGGACUUUCGUGUAACCCCUUUAGGGCCAAUCGGGUCUUUUGAGAAAUUGAGUAAAUCAAAAUUCCUCGUCAAUAAGGUUGGUCUGGGAAGAGACGAAGUCUGAGAUCCGCUUGCAGAACAGACGCUCGUACGAUUUGCGUAGAGACAUGAAGAACCCAAUCGGAUGACAUACUGAACGGCAUGAGUAAAAGUCUCGCUUAUCAAGCUUCACUUACAAAAGUGUCUUACAAAAUAAAGUUUUUAUUAAUAGUAAAAACAUCCAAAAUGGCGUUAAUUGCCGGUAAAGUAAAAUCUGAGGUUGGCUAUUUGUUUCAUAACUUAUAUUAUACAAAGAUACAAUGAAAUAAAAUCAUCUUAGAAAAUGCA